AUCCUAACUCUCUUUCAGAUGCAGAAGGAUAGAAUCCAGGGCAGAGGCCCCCAUCCCAGGUGAGGGGAUUCGCCCAAGCAGGAAGUCAAGGCAGAGAGCUGCAGUCCAGGCCAGCGGGCAAGGUGGUCCACUUGCGAUCUAUCCUGGCCGAGCAUGCUCAUGCCAGGUGCUGUCGCUGCCCUAAGCAUGACCAAGGAACAGAGGAGGGCAGGUG